AUACCAAAUACAAACAAAAAAAAAAAAAAAAAAUAAAGUUCAGUUGUCUGCGGUAUAUGCAGGCUAUUUUAGGCAAAAGGAAAAAUGCAAGGCGACAAAUUAUCCCUUGUACUAACUUUUAGUUAUGAUAUAUAUUAGAAACUUCAUAUAUGAGCUUUAAAGAUAAAUUUUUUAAUUAUUUUGUGCUUAAUUUUUUUCCAGAGUAAUUUUAUUUCAAAGGGAUAUGGAAUUGGCUUAGAAGGAGAUUAUGAAAAAUAUAAGAAUGUCCUGAAUGGCUCCAACGACUGUUCAUCGUAUUAAUUGCUGACUUUGCUCAUAACUGCCCUUGGAUACCUUCAAUAAUAUCCUUGGAAUCAUUCCAUGAACUAUCCAUAUCAAUCCGAAAAAAGUUUCCUGUUCAAUCACCCCAGUGACAUAAUCCGCAAGUUAAUGCAAAAUGAUGGUAAACCAACAUUGGACCGGGCGCAAACAUAUCGAUGACUUGCUCAAAACAUCUUUUAUAAACACCGAAGAAGAGAAGCCGAAGGUUGUUAAGCAAGUCAGAAGUUCGAUUAUGAUCCGAAAGAUACUUCAUGAAAUCAUAAGAUUGUUAUGCUUCGAACAAAUUGUGCUAUGUAACACGUAAUUAAUGUAAAGAGAACAACCCUUCUAAUAGCUUACAGUCGCUGAAUUUCGAAAAACGAUAUGACAAGUAUGCAGCAAGAAUGGCACUGUUACGAAAGCCAACAUCGUCUUACGAGAAAGACAAUUUAAAGCUUCUGAAAGCGAAAACGUUGCAACUACCAUUAAUUUCGUCCUGGUAACGGUUCCCGACAGCUCUUCUAACAAUUGUAAUUACAAUCAUUUAAAUCCUUUGCCUUUGACUGUUGGACUUGAUUCCAAAUGUAGUUGUUGAACUUUCGACUGACAGCAGUUAUCUGAGAAGAUAAGGUACGCUGUGGAUGUAAGCUGACAAAAAAAAGUCAUCGAAUUUUCGUCAAGGACAACUAAAGAACGACAAUGAAAGAAAGAAAGAGCGGCAAAAUCGUGCUAAUACGUUGAAACAGAAACUAAUCUUCAAUUCAAGGCAGUCCAUUAAUAAUGCAGUG